AUGUAGAAACGGCCCCGGGGUACUUAACCGUACGGUAAUUGCUAUUUAGAAACGUGGCAGGCUAGAGUCUUGUAGGAGGGGGUAGAAUUUCAGGUGUAGCGGUGAAAUGCGUAGAGAUCUGAAGGAAUACCAGUGGCGAAGGCGGCCCCCUGGACAAAGACUGACGCUCAGAUGCGAAAGCGUGGGGAGCAAACAGGAUUAGAUACCCUGGUAG
rnacentral:rRNA from 1 species